rnacentral:lncRNA from 1 species
GGUAAAAGCUGCUAGGACUGAUGAAAAGCUGUGUUUGUAGCUUAGAAAUAAACACAGGGAAGGAAAAUAUGGAAGUGUGCAGAUGGAGCGGGUAUUUGGACUAAUCCAGGUUCAGCCCUCUGUGGUUUUUGCUGGCUGUGGAAUUGGGGGUUAGCAGUCCUGACAGCACUAAAUCCCUUUUCAUCUCUUCUUCCCUUUGCUGUGGAUUUGCAGGGCUGUAGUGUCCGAGUGGGGCAGGAUCCAGGCGCUGUGGGACGCCUCAAGUGGAGCUCCAAGCCAGCAAAGGAAUUGUGGUGGUGUUCACCUCAGGACAAGUUUGGUAUUCCCAGAGCAGCGUCAGCCCUGCGCAGAGCCCGGGUGGUGCUGAGUGUUGGGGAGAUCCUGCAGACCUGCUGCUUCAACCACGCUGAUAAAGUCUCCAGGCCUCUUCCUCAGGGAGGAAGCUUUUCUGCUGUGUGACACAAUACCCCAGCUGGUGUUUGCACAGAGACCAAAGUGUGGAUCUGGACUCCUUGGAGACUGAAAUGAGGGAAUUUAUCAGCAGGUGAGUGAAAAUAGGUGUCUUCUGUGAUGGGACUGUGACAUAGAGUGAUUGAUAUGUUGGCUGCUGUCACUUUGUUUGGCCAAACGUCCCCAGCCUGGAACUUAGGG